rnacentral:rRNA from 1 species
GAGGCAGCAGUAGGGAAUCUUAGACAAUGGGGGCAACCCUGAUCUAGCCAUGCCGCGUGUGUGAUGAAGGCCCUAGGGUCGUAAAGCACUCUCGCCAGAGAUGAUAAUGACAGUAUCUGGUAAAGAAACCCCGGCUAACUCCGUGCCAGCAGCCGCGGUAAUACGGAGGGGGUUAGCGUUGUUCGGAAUUACUGGGCGUAAAGCGCACGUAGGCGGAUUAGUAAGUUAGAGGUGAAAUCCCAGGGCUCAACCCUGGAACUGCCUUUAAUACUGCUAGUCUUGAGUUCGAGAGAGGUAAGUGGAAUUCCGAGUGUAGAGGUGAAAUUCGUAGAUAUUCGGAGGAACACCAGUGGCGAAGGCGGCUUACUGGCUCGAUACUGACGCUGAGGUGCGAAAGUGUGGGGAGCAAACAGGAUUAGAUACCCUGGUAGUCCACACCGUAAACGAUGAAUGCCAGACGUCAGCAAGUAUACUUGUUGGUGUCACACCUAACGGAUUAAGCAUUCCGCCUGGGGAGUACGGUCGCAAGAUUAAAACUCAAAUGAA